rfam:Triticum aestivum genome assembly, contig: Triticum_aestivum_CS42_TGACv1_scaffold_577183_7BL
AUUGUACUCCCUCCGUCCCAAAAUUCUUGUCUUAGAUUUGUCUAGAUACGGAUGUAUCUAUUCAUGUUUUAGUGUAAGAUACAUCCGUAUCUAGAUAAAUCUAAGACAAGAAUUUUGGGACGGAGGGAGUACAAU